AUUUCUUCGUUUCACACCACUGCAACGCCUGUGACGCGCUUUGGUCUCCUUUCUUUCUGGGACACUGACUGAUGGAGAGGUCCGCCUCGAAAAAUAAUAUCUUGUCUCUAGAGCCCUCCACUGCCUUCUUCCCUCGACGGACCAACCAACCAUUGCCCGCUACCUCACCCCAGGCCGGCAGCACCUCCUCCCCGGCCCCUCCUCCAGCGGCGGCCCCUUCUCCUCGGCGCCGAUCCGACCCUCCUUCCUCCUUCCUGCUCGCCGCCGCUGAGGAACUCGACGAAUCUCGGCGGCGGCGCUCGAGCUCUGCGGCCUGGAGCUCGGCGGAUCUUGGUGGCGGCGUUCGAGCUCUCCGGCCUCGACCUCGGCGGAUCUCGUCAGCCGCGCUCGAACUCCAGGCCUGGAGCUUGGCGGAUCUUGAUGGCGCAACUCGGCGCGUCUUGGCAUCGACCCCGCCGGCCGCCUCCCUCCUCGGCACCUGCCUCCCAAGAAUCGCCCCGGCGGCCAUGCCGCACGUCGACUCCGGCCCUCUUCCGGCCGUGCCCUCCUCCCACCGCGCCCUCCUCCGCUUCUGCUCUCCUAGGUCUCGUGGCGCCGUGCAGUCUCCGUCCGCCCCCUGCUCUCAUCGGCCUCACGCCGCCGUACAGCCUCCAUCCGCCCUUGCUCUUCCUCGGCCUCGCGCCGCCAUGCAGCCUCCGAGCAGCUGCGAUGACGGCCAGGUCCUGGCGGCGGCGGCUUCCGGCUAUUCACUCGGACCAACCACUCUGCUCUUAAUCUACUCAUCUGCUAUCCUGGUGUACUGCUGCAUCCUUCGCCGCCUUGCACUUGCGCCGGGGUGCUCUUGGCGUGCAGGGGCUGGCCAGCUCCUUCCUGGUGGCUUCGCACCCGCGAUUCAGUGGUGGCACCAUGAGAUACAAGAAGGGGCGACAGCUAUAGUUUCUUUGGUUCUCUUCUUGGUGUUCUUAGUUCUGAUUUUAUUUGGGUAGUCUCCCAAUUUUUAUUAAUGUCUGCUUGCUUCUAUUAUACACAGGCAUACUGAAACGAGCGGCCAUAAUUGCUACUGGCUGUAUGGGGUGAACCAAAAGCGGUGGGGGAGAGAGAUCAGAGCACGGCAUGUCGGAGGAAGCCUGCAGCUUCACACGGAGACGUGGUGGUGCUGCUGCUCUCAGCCCAAAUCAGAUCGAACUCGCCCCAGCCCAAAUCGAGUCACUUGCCCUCGGAUUGAACUUUCCAAUUCAUCUUUUCUACUUCCCCUUGUGCAUCGAGAUCUGUUCUUCCCAAAAUUAUUUUCGUUGAGUUCCAACCCAUGCUUUCCUUCUUUUCUUGGUAGAAUCAGAACACAUUUUCUUUCAAUUUGGUUGCAGCAGUAUGCUUUAUGUGAAACUACCUUAUUGCUGCGCUCGGGCUCGCCAACUGGUAUCUCAUAAGACCCAUAGGUUCAGCAAGUUUACGAAGCUUUUACUGGGAGAAGAAAUGAGGAAAUAUAAAACACUUGACAUCAGGCCUCCGUGAUCCCUUGCAGGGCAUGCGGCAGACGGCAGAGCCACAGCCAUGCAUCUUCCUUACAGGCAAACAAUGCCAUCACAGCAGCCUCAAUCAGUUCUGAUUUCAUCAGCUUCCCAGGACCUGCUGGAUCUAACAGUCCAUCAUUUGCUACAGCAGAAGAACAAUCAGGUAUUAGUACAAAGAAAUAAUGAGUACUGUUGCUCCAGUUAUUACAAUAUCUAUGCAAAAAAAACAUGUGACUGCACAUCAUGCUACUUUCUUUCCUGGUACUUUCUCCUUAUCCAUGGAAACCCAACAUGUAGCAUACCCUGCCUUGUCCCACAACUGCCACUAUAUAUAAGUAAUUUGCUUAUUGAAUAAUUAUUUAAGAGACAAGCAACUGAUACAAGAAAUAACUACAUUUGCCUGCUUAUUUUCCACCCCCUCACUGAAUCUGGUCACAUGACUGUUUAUUCCUUUCAAGCACCCAUGUUACUCAUCAGUAGAAUAUGAACCUGCAUCACAAAGCUGGUCACAACAGCCUAAAUUAAUAUAGCAGCUUUUAUAUAAAAAAAAUCAGACCAUCAUGCUGGGAGUGAGAUGUUUAGGCACUGCUGUCAUUUUUCAAACCUGUAUUUCAUCAGCAAAGCUAGCUCGAGGCUAUCCAGGAAACAUGCCUAAUCUUUAUUUUUCGUUUUGCAAAUCUAUACUUAUAUUUGUGGGGACACAUGCUUCUGCUACUGAUUCACGUUUCUUUGUUGAAUGCUGUCCGCGUGAACCUAAGUGGCUGGUAUAUCUGAAUAGCUUGACAUUUGACAGUACAAUGAAUGGUUGUUUCUUCCUGCUACCAUUUUUGUACUGAAGUUGCCCAGUAAAAUUAUUUGCUCAGUUGUGCAGUCCUCAGUUACUAUUUGCAUCCAUUUUAGGCUAGCUACAAGGUCCCAUCGUGCUCAUGUUUUCUUUAGUAGCUUCUUCAUGUGCUCGGAUGAUUAGCAGACCGUUAGCUCAACAAGCUACGUCUGUAGCUACUACCACCGCAGGCCAACAGCCAGCUGAAAAGGAACUUGAGGAGUCGUUUGGUACAAACAAGAACAAACAAGUGAUGACAGCUACAAUGCUAAUCCAGAUGAGGACUGCUACACUAUAGACUGACCGAGAACAGCUGAAUGGAAACAUUGAUGCUGAUAUCUAAUUUUGAGCCCCCUAUUUUUUUUUAUGUUACAACUGCUGCCUUCUGAUGCCCUCAUUGCGGUGUUAAGCUUAAUGAGAACCUGCUGUCAUUCUUUUUGGGUUGUUUUUCUUCUCAAAUUUGGAAUAGGCAACACUGUAUGUCCUUACACAUGAAGUUGAUUGUGAACAACAGGAGCUAGCAAUUCAGUUCCUUUAUUGUCCCUAUAAUACCUUGACAUUAUUCCUCUUUUAUUUAAUGAAUGCGAGUAAUUUUAGUUAGUAUUGUUAA